UUGGAGUUGCACUGCAAAUUUGCCGCUUCAUCGGAUUUGGAAAUGGCCGCCAUUUCAAUUUGCUUUGCUCCGCAAGCUCUUGCACGGCCCAGAAUUCGAAACCCUAGAAGAAUACAGUCGCCCAAGAAGCUUCGAGGGAACGACAAGCUUGAUCGUAAUAGCGUUAAGAUAAGAACCAAUUCGAAGGAGUUAUCUUCCAUUGGCGUUGAAGCCACUACCUACACCCGCCUCCCUCCCAGGGAAGACUUCGCUCUUCUUAGCUUUGAUUCCCCGUCUUUUGAUUCUUCUUCUUCUUCUUCUUCUUCGAAGGUUUCGUCCGAGGUGAAGCUUUUGGAUUCGGAUGUUGCGAUAAUUGAGGAGGAAAAUGAUUUGGAUUCUUUGAACUUCGAAGAGAGGGAGGAAAAAGAGGAAGGAGGAUUGGAUGGGAAUUUGGCUUUUGGGAAUGGCUAUGGGAAGUUUGAAGUGUUUGAGGGGGAAUAUGACUCUGAAAUGGAGGAGUAUGGCGAUGAUAGUGAAGUGGAAGAGGAAGAGGAAGAGGAAGAGGAAGAGGAAGAGGAAGAGUUAGAUGAGGAAGGAGAGAAGGUUUUGGCAUUUAGGAAGGGGAGAUUUGUUGAUACUGAUGAAGUGGAAACCUAUUAUGAUGGUGCUUAUGAAGCUGGCGAAGAAGAUGUGAAGGAAAAGGGGCUGCCAGCAGUAAUGCGGUGCUUUGAUCGAGCGAAAAUCUAUGUGAAAGCUGGAGAUGGUGGCAAUGGCGUUGUGGCAUUUCGGCGCGAGAAGUAUGUGCCGCUGGGUGGCCCUUCAGGAGGAGAUGGAGGGAGAGGUGGGAAUGUGUAUGUUGAAGUUGAUGCGUCGAUGAAUUCGCUAUUGCCAUUUCGAAAUGGUAUACAUUUUCGUGCAGGAAGGGGUAGUCAUGGGCAGGGGAGAAUGCAAAACGGGGCGAAGGGUGAGGAUGUGGUGGUGAAAGUGGCCCCUGGAACAGUGAUAAGAGACGCAUUUAGCCAGGAGAUUCUGUUGGAAUUGUUACAUCCGGGGCAGCGGGCUCUGUUGCUGCGCGGUGGAAGAGGUGGAAGAGGCAAUGCAUCAUUCAAAUCCGGGUCAAAUAAGGUUCCGAAGAUUUCAGAGAAUGGAGAAGAGGGUUCAGAAAUGUGGUUGGAGUUGGAGCUAAAGCUUGUUGCAGACGUUGGAAUCGUCGGGGCACCAAAUGCAGGGAAAAGCACACUUUUGAGCGUGAUAAGUGCUGCACAGCCAGCCAUAGCAAAUUACCCUUUUACUACCCUACUCCCAAACUUGGGUGUUGUUUCUUUUGACUAUGACUCAACUAUGGUGGUAGCAGAUCUUCCAGGAUUACUUGAAGGCGCACACGAGGGGUUUGGCUUAGGCCAUGAGUUUCUACGUCACACUGAAAGGUGUUCUUCACUGGUGCAUGUGGUCGAUGGGUCAGGACCACAACCUGAAUAUGAAUUUGAUGCUGUUCGUUUGGAGUUGGAGCUCUUUAGCCCCGAACUAGCUGAAAAACCCUAUCUUGUUGCCUAUAAUAAAAUGGAUCUUCCUGAAGCUUACGAAAACUGGCCAGCAUUCAAGGAAAAGCUACAAGCUCGUGGGAUUGAAACUUUUUGUAUGAGUGCCGUAAAAAGAGAGGGCACUCAUGAAGUCAUUAGUGCUGCAUAUCAGCUACUAAGGGAAACUAAAGAAGCCAGGGAAUUUCAAGGUGGGAAAAUACCAGAGAAUCUGGACCAUGUGGCAGAUAGAAUACACAAGCAACGUAGUGCUUCUAUUGAUGACUUUGAAAUUGUUCGUGAUAGCGGUUCCUGGCAUGUAGUUGGAUCUGGUUUACAACGAUUUGUUCAGAUGACAAAUUGGCGUUACAUGGAGUCCGAAAGAAGGUUCCAACAUGUCAUGGAGGCAUGUGGUGUCAACAAGUCUCUCAGAAAACUUGGCAUCAAGGAGGGUGACACAGUAUUUGUUGCAGAGAUGGAGAUGAUCUGGCAUGAUUCACCCAAUAGCUCUGGUCCAUCUAAUAUGAAGAAAAGAUCAGAUUCUGUGAAAUGGCCAGAGUGGAAGUAACUCGCCUUUGUUUUCUCACUGGUAGCUUGAUGCUGAUAACGGAAGGAUGAAUUUUCUCUAUGGAUCAGAUGAACAGCCUUACACAUCCAGGAGAUCCGAAUGGAGCAGCAUUAUUUUAUGAGGAUCUAGUUGGACUGGACUAAGAUCACUCGGCAUGGGCGCACGGGGACUUGGGAUCUGCCCCUAAUUUGCAGUCUCUCUCUGGUUAGUUGGUUUACUUUAAUUCAUACUUCAACUCUCGUUUUAUUCUGCAUUUAAAUUCUUGCCUUAUUUUGUUGUUCACUUUUUAUAUAUUUUAUUGUUUGUUUUUAUGUUUUAAUUUCUACCACAUGUGACUUCUUUAGUUCUCUAUCAUUUUAAAAAAAAUAAAAAAAUAAUUAUCGAACGAGUAGACUCGCAACUCGAUAUAGAAACUGAAAGAAAACGAAAGACUGUUACGAAUGCUUCAGUAGCAAAGCAAGACCACCGACCCCCCUCCUGAAAUGCAGCAAAAAAAAUCUUGCAAUUUCUUACAUUAGAUUUUUUUUUUGGUGUUUUUUUUCUCAUUCAAAUCUCUGUCUAUCAUUCUUUUCAGAAUGUCAUUCGUUUUCCAUUUCCCCAUAAAUAAAUAAAUGCUUCUCUGAUUCUUCCUAGUACUGAUCUUCCUCUGUUCAUGUUAUUGUUCAUGAUUAAUGUACUCUCUCAAAUGUGUCU